GAGGGUAUAGCUCAGUGGUAGAGCACAUCCUUAGCAUGCACAAGGUCCUGGGUUCAAUUCCCAAUACCUCCA
rnacentral:tRNA from 1 species